rnacentral:rRNA from 1 species
GUAGUUACCUGCCCCAGGGUCCGGAAUAGCCACGGGAAACUGUGGGUAAUGCCGGAUAACAUCUUCGGAUCAAAGGUGUGAUUCCGCCCUGGGAGGGGACUGCGUCCUACUAGCUUGUUGGCGGGGUAAUGGCCCACCAAGGCAACAAUGGGUAGCGGGUGUGAGAGCAUGACCCGUCUCACUGGGACUGAGACACUGCCCAGACACCUACGGGUGGCUGCAGUCGAGAAUCUUCGGCAAUGGGCGAAAGCCUGACCGAGCGACGCCGCGUGCGGGAUGAAGGCCCUCGGGUUGUAAACCGCUGUCGUAGGGGAGGAAAUCAACGAGGGUACUCCCUCGUAGUUGACCUAUCCUAGGAGGAAGGACGGGCUAAGUUCGUGCCAGCAGCCGCGGUAAUACGAACCGUCCAAACGUUAUUCGGAAUUACUGGGCUUAAAGGGUUCGUAGGCGGCCUUGUAAGUGGGGUGUGAAAGCCCUCGGCUCAACCGAGGAAUAGCGCUCCAAACUGCAAGGCUU